AUGGCGGGGUUUAGGAAGAUUCUUUUGUUAAAAUGUUUUCUUUCAUUAUUUGAUUUAUUUUUCUGUGAAAAACAACCUGAUACUUUGAAUGUUUUAAGCAUCCUUCUUCCUUAUUCUACGGCAGGCUCAGUAACUUUCAAUGUCAUUUGUGCUGAUGUAUUGGUCAACAAAAUAAAUCGUAUUCAAAUCCAAACUACAACACGUGAACUUUUACUGGGAAAAUCACCAGAAGUUCUUCAAGUCUUCGCUUAUGGUGAUACAGAUAAUUUAUUUUCUUCAAUUGAUGGCCUUGUCUUUGACUGGCAACUUAUUACUAUUCCUGGAUCUUUGGAUGCCUCCAGCAUAUUAAGGAUUGUCCCAUUUGCUGAAUCAAUUAAUGAAACCUCAGCUGCUAUUUAUGCUUUAGAAGCCGAGGGUUUAAGGGGGCAGCAGUAUCAUUGUUGAAGGCAUAACAACAGGAACAGCGCUGGUCAGAGCAAAAUUAAGUCAUCCAACCUUCCAGGAUGUUCAAUCUGACGAAGUAAAGUUAUUGGUGAUUGAUAACUUAAUAAUUCCAUCGAGGGAUGUCUACAUUAUGAUAAAUACUGCUGUCAAAUACACAGUCAAAAGAUUUCGACAAAACGCUAUGAUAGAUGUCGAAAUGCCGUCAACACAAUUUGAGUUUGUUCUAAGCAAUACAACUGUUGCAGUUCUUCAUUAAACAUCAUCUAAUUUUAUUGGUCGUGUUCUUGGUUAUACACAAGUUACCCUCGUUGAUAAAAACAUGAAAGAUCAAAUAUCUACAAGACAACCAACAGCUUAUAUUUAUGUUGAUGAACCUCAUCUAGGUAAUUCUUGAAUUCAUAACUGUUUAAAAUGAUUAUGGACGUCGUGA